rnacentral:lncRNA from 1 species
UAUGGUUCAAUGCAUUGAUACCUUGUUGAUGUUGAAAAAGAUUGAAAUAUUUUAAGUUGAAGUUGGGGUUAGGAAUCCACAAAUUGUUGAUGAAUUAUAAAUUGAGAUAUUUGUUUUGGUCUUUAUGAUAGACCCUUGUGAUAAUGAUGGUGGAUUUCCUAACGCGUUCUGAGCUUGUUGGGGAGUAGUACUUAGCACCGAGAGGAAAAUUUGGUAUUUUUCCAAACCUAUGUG